AUUGGUAUCGAUUAGUGGUUAAAUCGCUUCGUUGUGGAAGUUAGCUUUGAAGAGCCAGUGGUUCGAUUCCGGCUACUGAUA